rnacentral:rRNA from 1 species
CAGCAGCCGCGGUAAUACGAAGGGGGCUAGCGUUGCUCGGAAUGACUGGGCGUAAAGGGCGCGUAGGCGGCGGCCAAAGUCAGGCGUGAAAUUCCCGGGCUCAACCUGGGGGCUGCGUUUGAUACUUGGUUGCUUGAGUGGGGAAGAGGGUCGUGGAAUUCCCAGUGUAGAGGUGAAAUUCGUAGAGAUGUGGAGGAACACCAGUGGCGAAGGCGACUCUCUGGUCUGUAAUUGACGCUGAUGCACGAAAGCUAGGGGAGCAAACAGGAUUAGAUACCCCCGUAGUCCCUGUCUCUUAUAC